CCGCGGCCGCUCGCCCCGCCCCGCCCCGCCCGGAGACAAUGCGGCCGUACCGAGCGCUGCGCCCGCAGGCCGCGGCCCCGCCUGGCCCGGGCCCCCGCAGACACGGAGGGUCGUGAUAAAUACCCAGCGCGGGACAAGCGGGAGUCUGUCCAACUGCGGAGUUUUUAUCACUGGCAGCCGUGUUAAGAUAACAGUACUCUCGCUCUGCUCUUCGGAGACGCGCUGUGCGUGCUGAAUGAGAGCACAGCGGCUCACAGGUGAACGCUGGGAGUACCUCAGAACGAUUGAAUAUAAUUUACUGAAUCUUAUUCCGAAUAUGACAAGUGUCUCACGGAGGCUGCAACUGCUUCGUUUCUUCUCUCAAAACGAGUUUGCAGAACCACCUCUGUUCACCACCUUUCCUGGUUGCUGUCCAGUCAACAUCUGCUGCAGCCAUCGCCCUCACCGUCACCAUCGGGGUUACUUUUGGGAGAGGAGAGGAGCGGGAGAGAGAGAAGAAGAGGGAGAAGGAAAGGAAUUCAGGCCAAAAGGACAUAGACCCUAUUUCUCCAUUUUUCUUGUCUCAACUGGAAUCUCUUCUCAAGGACAGAACAAGGCUUCUCCUGCAGUGCCUUCCAUAGGAGAGAGUUACCCAAAAGUCACUCUCAUUUGUACUCUGUCUGGAGAUAUGCUGGUUUAA
rnacentral:lncRNA from 1 species